GACGAACGCUGGCGGCGUGCUUAACACAUGCAAGUCGAACGGCAAGGCCCUGCUUUUGUGGGGUUCUCGAUUGGCGAACGGGUGAGUAACACGUGAGUAACCUACCCUUGACUUUGGGAUAACUUCAGGAAACUGGGGCUAAUAUCGGAUAGGAGCUCCUGCAGCAUGGUGGGGGUUGGAAAGUUUCGGCGGUUGGGGUUGGACUCGCGGCUUAUCAGUUAGUUGGUGGGGUAGUGGCUUACCCAGGGUUUGGCGGCUAGCCGGCCUGAGAGGGUGACCGGCGACCUUGGUACUAAGAGACGGCGCAGAGUCGUACAGGAGACAGCGGUGGGGAAUAUUGCACAGUGGGCGGGAGCCUGAUGCAGAAGCGCCGCGUGCGGUAUGACGGCCUUCGGGGUGUAAACCGCUUUCGCCUGUGACGAAGCGUGAGUGACGGUAAUGAGUAAAGAAGCACCGGCUAACUACGUG
rnacentral:rRNA from 1 species